GGGGAUGUGGCUCAAGUGGUAGCGUGCUUACCUAGCAUGUAUGAGGCACUGGGUUUGAUUCUCAGCACCACA
rnacentral:tRNA from 1 species